rnacentral:rRNA from 1 species
AUUGAACGCUGGCGGCAGGCCUAACACAUGCAAGUCGAGCGGAGCGGCGGACGGGUGAGUAAUGCCUAGGAAUCUGCCUGGUAGUGGGGGGUAGCGUCCGGAAACGGGCGCUAAUACCGCAUACUAUCAGAUGAGCCUAGGUCGUAUUAGCUAGUUGGUGGGGUAAAGGCCUACCAAGUCGACGAUCCGUAGCUGGUCUGAGAGGAUGAUCAGUCAAACUGGAACGGAGACACGGUCCAGACUCCUACGGGAGGCAGCAGUGGGGAAUAUUGGACAAUGGGCGAAAGCCUGACCCAGCCAUGCCGCGUGUUGGAAGAAGGUCUUCGGAUGGUAAAGCACUUUAAGUUGGGAGGCGUUACUAACAGAAUAAGCACCGGCUAACUUCGUGCCAGCAGCCGCGGUAAUAC